UCCUGCAGACUUCAAUGCCUCUGAAGUCUAGUCUCCAUAGCUGGAGACUGUAAUUCAGGAAGCAGAGGCAAUGAUUUGCUGCUUUCUGUGACAAGAUGAAAACUGCCACCCUGAAAAGGCACCCUGCUGGCCCUCCAGCCACCAGCGCAGAGUGGGAACACAACCGGCACACUGUAAAAGGCAGGAGUCUACAGAGGUCAGAAAAGAAUCUAAUCCCCUGGAGUUGGAGUUAUGGAGAAUCGUGAGCUUCCUUGCGGGUCCUGAAAACCAAACUCCAGUCCGCUAAAGAAGCAAUACUCAUCCUUAACAGCUGAGCCAUCUCUCCAGCCCCUCAGUGUAAGAGUAGCUGUGUGCCUCAAAGGAAGCGAAACAGCGAGCGGAUACUGGGAAAAGAUGUCUCAUAGGCCUAACCCUAUGAUGCACGGUGUCUUUCUUCAAGCUUUCAGAGGCUCACCAUCAGUCCACCUCUUGCCAUGACGAUUUGGAAGAGGUUGAAGAGAGUCCUUCCCUUCUGUUUUCAUGCUGGAAUUGGAAAUAAGAAGAGGUUUUCUGACCCGGCUUUCGUGUCGUACAGAUCUGUGUAAAUGGUGUAGGAGCUUUGACGCAGGACCAGGCUGGCUCCCACAUCUCAUAUCCUCUGCCUACAUUCCUCCACCGCAUGGUAUGGAGAAGCGUACUCCAUACGGUUCUUUCAUCAGGAUAAUUUGGAAUGUAGCAACCCAUACAAUUGGCCUACAUCAGCAGCUUCCUGGCAGUCAGUCUGACCUCCCGUUUUCAUCUAAACUUAGGUUUCUGAGCAUAACCUCAUCACGACCUACAUAACAGCAGCGUGGUAUGCAUUGCAAGUGUAACUGGAGGAGAAAAUGAGGGAAAAGGUCAUUUUACACCAUUUCUCAUAGAAAACUCCACAGUCCAAAUCUUCCUUCCAUAGCUAAGUAACGUCUUCAACAGCAGGAGAAAGGAGGCAGUAAGGUUUGAGAUGCACAGACACGGCGAACAGGAACAUACAUCCCUUGCUGUGUUCACACAAAUGCCCGGAGGACAAAAGAAAUGGAGGCUCCUUGAAAGACACAUGGAAAGUAAUGGCUGAUACAAAGAAAAGACAACCCAAAUCAUGCCCAAUUCCUCAGUGACAACCAACCACGUCUAACAGUGGCCCUAGAUCAUCCCAGACCUUUUUCUGUGGGUUUUUCCCCCCUACUGUAGAAUUGUGCCAAGUAUAUAAAUUAAUUUCCUGACUGUUUUCCUUGUAAUAUUAAUUUUUAAAAAUCCCCACGAUUACCAGAGAAGCCCCACAGAGAAGAUCUGCUCCUAAUUAGUUGUUUUGUCUUUGUCUCCCUGAGAUAGAUGCCUCUGUUCCCAGGUCUCACUGUGCUCUGAUGAGGUAGGGAUUGUCCUGGUUGGCUGAGCUUUGCCUGGCUAGUUUUAAAUCUCGAAGGGCCAUCCAGGGACAUAGUGAUGGUUCAGAGGGCAAAAAAACUA